rnacentral:rRNA from 1 species
UACGGAGGGGGCUAGCGUUGUUCGGAAUUACUGGGCGUAAAGCGCGCGUAGGCGGACCUGCAAGUCGGGGGUGAAAGCCCGAGGCUCGACCUCGGAACUGCCUUCGAUACUGCGGGUCUCGAGUCCGGGAGAGGUGAGUGGAAUUCCUAGUGUAGAGGUGAAAUUCGUAGAUAUUAGGAAGAACACCAGCGGCGAAGGCGGCUCACUGGCCCGGUACUGACGCUGAGGCGCGAAAGCGUGGGGAGCAAACAGG